CCCGAAGCCUGUGAGUUUCAAAGUGAAGGAGACUGUGUGCCCCAAGACGACACAGAGGCCACUGGAGCAGUGUGAUUUCAAGGACAAUGGGGUGAGGCUGGGGGCUCUGGCAGAAGCCCCCAAAUGAGCUGAACAAGAGGCCUCCUGGGAAUAUUUCCAGGCACUGGGGUGAGGCUGGGAGGUUAUGGCAUAGGGGUUCCAAUUUGACCUGGAGCCUCCUCUUCUCAGCUGGUGAAGCAGUGUGAAGGGACAGUCAUCCUGGACCAGAACAGGGGCUACUUUGACAUCAACUGUGAUGAGGUGAGUGGCUCCCUGUAGGUUGCAGGGGUUGAUGGGGUGGUGGUACAUAGAACAUCCUAUGGGCCAAUUAACCACUGUCCCAUCCAGGGCACAGAAAGCCCCUCCUAGCCUGGGCUUCUCCCUCAAGCUGGGCCUCAUCUCCAGGACCUCACAGGCUCUGUGAUCCCUUAGUACAGGCUCUCAAAGUGUGGCCGUGAGAACUCGGUAAUUUAUUAGCAAUGCAACUUCUCAGGCCCCAUGCAGAUCUGCAGAAAUCAGAUUCUGGGGUGGGGCCCAGCAAUAUGUAGUUUAACAAACUCCAGGGGAUUCUGACUCCUGAUAAAGCUUGAGAACCACUUAGAGUAAUACGCUUUCAGCUGUGAGACCCUGGGAAGCCCCUUGCUAUCUCUGGGCUUCAGUUUCCUCAUCUGUUUGUGGGUGUGGCGAUUCAAUCAACUACAUACUCCAAAGGUUACAGCCAGAGGAUGAACUGGGAUGGCCCAAGAAGGGGGGUGUCUAGGAGGGGAGGGGUCUUGUCUUGACCCUGGGUCCAGCCCCCACAAAGAAACUGCUUCCUUCUGAUGCACAGAUUCUACAAGUCAGGAAAUUGGGCCAGCUGGGUGAGCUUAUCCAACAAGGUGGGCAGAAGAUUGUUGAGAAGAUUCAGAAAAUUGGCCAGAGAAUCCGUGACUUUUUUAGCAAUCUUCGCCCCAGGCAAGAGGCCUAAGGGUCUGCUUUUCCCUGGCUCAGGCUUCUGGACCCUGCAAAAUAAAUUUUUGUGAAAG
rnacentral:lncRNA from 1 species